GUACCGAAUAAAACUGACCCGAUCGAGACGCAUAGCUAAUGGAACAGCUGGUCAUCCCCGUUAAUCGGAAUUACUGGGCGUAAACGCGCGUAGGUGGUUCGUUAAGUUGGAUGUGAAAUCCCCGGGCUCAACCUGGGAACUGCAUCCAAAACUGGCGAGCAAGAGUAUGGUAGAGGGUGGUGGAAUUUCCUGUGUAGCGGUGAAAUGCGUAGAUAUAGGAAGGAACACCAGUGGCGAAGGCGACCACCUGACUGAUACUGACACUGAGGUGCGAAAGCGUGGGAGCAAACAGGAUUAGAUACCCUGGUAGUCCACGCCGUAAACGAUGUCAACUAGCCGUUGGGAGCCUUGAGCUCUUAGUGGCGCAGCUAACGCAUUAAGUUGACCGCCUGGGGAGUACGGCCGCAAGGUUAAAACUCAAAUGAAUUGACGGGGGCCCGCACAAGCGGUGGAGCAUGUGGUUUAAUUCGGAAGCAACGCGAAGAACCUUACCAGGCCUUGACAUCCAAUGAACUUUCCAGAGAUGGAUUGGUGCCUUCGGGAACAUUGAGACAGGUGCUGCAUGGCUGUCGUCAGCUCGUGUCGUGAGAUGUUACC
rnacentral:rRNA from 1 species